GGGGAGGUGCCAGAGUGGUUGAAUGGGUCGGUCUCGAAAACCGUUGUACGGUUCUGCCGUACCGUGGGUUCGAAUCCCACCCUCUCCGCCA
rnacentral:tRNA from 1 species